CGCAGGGAAACUUGUGCUAAUACCGUAUGUGCCCUUUGGGGGAAAGAUUUAUCGGUAAAGGAUCGGCCCGCGUUGGAUUAGCUAGUUGGUGGGGUAAAGGCCUACCAAGGCGACGAUCCAUAGCUGGUCUGAGAGGAUGAUCAGCCACAUUGGGACUGAGACACGGCCCAAACUCCUACGGGAGGCAGCAGUGGGGAAUAUUGGACAAUGGGCGCAAGCCUGAUCCAGCCAUGCCGCGUGAGUGAUGAAGGCCCUAGGGUUGUAAAGCUCUUUCACCGGAGAAGAUAAUGACGGUAUCCGGAGAAGAAGCCCCGGCUAACUUCGUGCCAGCAGCCGCGGU
rnacentral:rRNA from 1 species